rnacentral:lncRNA from 1 species
CCACUUCUAUUUCAAAACAUCAUUGUCUUCGAAUGAAAAUUAAAAGCGCUGAAGGUUCUUAUGAGACUUUCAGUCCUCCAGCAUGACUUGCAUGGCUGUAAUCAAGGGUGAUAUAUUUCUCUCAUUGGCAAGUUGUACCCUUCCAGACAUCAAUUAAACCAGCAAUUACUGGUACGUGCUGUUCUGAUGGAAUGCAUGAUGGAAGAAACAAAAGCAGGUACUUUUGGGAGGUGAACAUCAUCUUUGGGCACAGCUAUACCCGGUAUUGAGUAAUUCAUAUUUCUGAUGGCCAGAAACUUCUUAUUUCAUGCUUUCUCAUCAUAUAAAGUUUGCUUUCUUAGACAUAUGCACUGUUGCUAUUAUUUGUUACGUGAGGACAUGGCCAUUAUUUAGUGAGGUUUUUACUGAUAACAAAAAAAACGAUAUAAAUGCAUACGUCGAGAACACAAUCCGACAAAGGCCACCUUAAAUUGUUUCCUUAAGAAAAAACGACCACCAAAAAUGUUAUGCUAAAAUUUUGCUAUUUCAUGGCAAAGCAAAGCUUGAAUGAAGAACAAAAAAAUAUUCCUUUUUCUAUGUAUGUCAAAUGAGCUCAACCCCACUCUUAUUGUUGCAUAUUCUCAUACCUCUCUCUCUCUCUCUCUC